rnacentral:rRNA from 1 species
GAUGAACGCUGGCGGCGUGCCUAAUACAUGCAAGUCGAGCGAACAGACGAGGAGCUUGCUCCUCUGACGUUAGCGGCGGACGGGUGAGUAACACGUGGAUAACCUACCUAUAAGACUGGGAUAACUUCGGGAAACCGGAGCUAAUACCGGAUAACAUGUUGAACCGCAUGGUUCAACAGUGAAAGACGGUCUUGCUGUCACUUAUAGAUGGAUCCGCGCCGCAUUAGCUAGUUGGUAAGGUAACGGCUUACCAAGGCAACGAUGCGUAGCCGACCUGAGAGGGUGAUCGGCCACACUGGAACUGAGACACGGCCAGACUCCUACGGGAGGCAGCAGUAGGGAAUCUUCCGCAAUGGGCGAAAGCCUGACGGAGCAACGCCGCGUGAGUGAAGAAGGUCUUCGGAUCGUAAAACUCUGUUAUUAGGGAAGAACAAAUGUGUAAGUAACUAUGCACGUCUUGACGGUACCUAAUCAGAAAGCCACGGCUAACUACGUG